rnacentral:lncRNA from 1 species
AAAGAUUUAUGCACAAGGCUGUUUAUCACAGUGUUAUUUGAAACUGUAAAGCAUCAGAAGCUCCCUUGUUAAAUCACAGUGCAGCUGCACUAUAGAUGAUUAUGUAGCCAUAAAGAUGCGAUGACGUGGACAAAUAUGGACGCCGUGAUGUUGAGAAGAACAGCGGGAAGCCAAGUUGCUUGUACAACAAAGAGCUCAAUUAUGAAAGAACAAAAUGAAUAAAACGCUGGAAGGAAAUGUGCCAAAAUGUUGUCAGAGUUGCCUCUAGUUAGUAGGAAUUUCAGUCUUUUGUUAUUGCUUUAACUUUUUUGUUAAAAUUUUUUGUAAUAUGCACAUAUCACUCUGAUAAUCAGAAAAAAAAUAAUGUAAAAGCUGCCUUAAACCCUUUCUGGUGUUGGAUGUGGUACCCUGCCCCUAGGACACUAUUGGAGAAAUGACAGUGCGACAUCAAAGGGGAAUUGCACAGAUAACUCAGAUGGCUGUGUUGGAGUAAACCUCUGGAGCUGCGGAGAUGUGGAGAAGAAGACACCUCAGCUAUAUUUUGGUUGGUGUUCGCAUGGGACCUUACAUAGAGAGAAUUUGAAUAUUGGCCUGGCUGCUGUUGUCAAAUGGAGUUGCCUGUCAUUAAUAAGACCUGUACCUGCCUUGGUACAUUGUAACUACAGUGCUGACAUGUCAGGAGGGUUAUGCUUUCCAAGAAAGCCGAUUUCCCCAGAGGCUUAUUUGUGGUUGAUAUUUUGCUGGGGAGGGGAGGUUGUUAAGAGAGGGCAGAAAUGCAAAGAAGACUAAACCAAGAAAACUUUCACAUUUUCAACUAUGAUUCCUCAUCAGGACCGCAGUACACAGAAAAUUACUUGACUAUUUUCUCAAUUGUCCCAAGGAUGGUACAUAACUAGUGCCAUUCUAGAUGCAAGGAGAAAAGUUAAUUUGUUACAUACAAUGGAUGCCUUAGGGCAUUAGGGCUUAAUUCUCCACUAAAUCAGUUGAGAAAGACUCGCAGCCAUAUUUAAGUAUAAUUCUUUAAAUAGUACAUUGUAACUUCAAAAUAAAGUUGAAGCUCAGAUGUAAGUAGCUUUAAUCAUUUCGAUCUAUUACGAAUAAAGAGAUUGAUUCGCUCCCCAAAAGGUUAAUUGUAAUUAAUCCUUUGAAACUAGUUUAACAAUGAAAGCAGCAUUGUUACCUCAGAU